rnacentral:lncRNA from 1 species
GUAGAUUUAAAGAACAGUAUCCUUCUUUGGAAACAUGCAAUAUUUUUAGAAUCCUGUGAUAUUCUACUGUAAGACAUAAGCCAACAGUUUAUACAUCCCUGUCCAGGAAGUUGAAUAAUAAGUAAUCCUGGGAAUUUAAACCUCUAUUUUAAACCUUUGUAAGGACACUUUUAUUUCUUCAGUAUAAAUACAAAAAAGAAAAAAAAGCCAACAUCAUCUGAGCUUCUACUUGCUUCAAAAAGAGUUCUAUACUAGGGUUUAAAAAAUCAACAAAUACAGUAAGGACACUUUUAUUUCUUCAGUGUAAAUACAAAAAAAAAAAAGCCAACAUCAUUUGAGCUUCUACUUGCUUCAAAAAGAGUCCUAUACUAGGGUUUAAAAAAUCAACAAAUACAGGAGGAAAGAGAAAUAUUCAGAUUCAGUGAAUUUAUUUCUUUUUGAAAUUACUUUUGUACAAAAUGUAUAGGAAAUAUGUUUAUUUUCAAAAUGCAUUGAACCCGGGAGGUGGAGCUUGCAGUGAGCCGAGAUCGCACCACUGCACCCCAGCCUGGGUGACAGAGCAAGACUCCAUCUCAAAAAAAAAAAAAAAUGCAUUUUUUUGGUUAGAUUAAGGCAAAGAGAAAAGAUAAUAUGGUUCUCUUUUUUUCCCUAACUCUAGGUUAAAAGACUAAUUAGUAAAAUUGAUAAUGUAUGGACAGUGUGGGAGAAUAAAUGUGUAAUCAAAUUAGUGCUUAGUAAUAAUUUGGCAUUUCAUACAUUUUAUUGUGUUUAUACCAUGUUACCAUAAAGAAUAAAUUAUAAAUCAUAUUUUAUGCACAGAUAAACAGACUUUAGAGGCUUAACUGGUCAUUCAUACAGCUAAUAUAUGUCAGGGCCCGUAUAAGCGAUGGAUCUGUAUACAACAUAAAGGUUGCCUGAAUGAUUACAAAUUUGUUGUCUCUAUAGUAUAAUAUUACAAUGCAAAGCAGUGAAUAAUGGUAGUCCAUUGUCAAGAUAAAGGUUAUGUAACUUGAAAUCUAUAGUAGUCUCUACAUAGAUGUGGAUGAAUCCACAUUGAAUAUGAAAGUAUACAAAAUGUUAUUUAAAAAAAUUUAGUAUGUUAAAUUUCAUCUCCUCAUUAGCUGUUAUACCUUGCAAGCUUAAGUCACAGAGCUCUUUCUUUACUGAAAUAAUGCAUGUUAUCACCACUGAAACUUUUUUUUUUAAAAGAAAGCAUGCACAGCACACACAUGCACACAUACACACACAUCUAUGGAAGAUAUAAAAAGUACAAUUGUUGAAAGAUAUAUGGAAAGUUUAGUUGGUUAGCAUUGAAUGGUAGAGAACGUAUAUUAGUUUAGGCCUAUGAAAAUGCAAAAGUGCAAGAUUGUUAUUAAUUUGAUUUAAAUAAAUACUGAAAUUAAAAUAUAUUGAGUCACUCAGUUUACCUGAGUGGUCCUGUUUCAUCUUGCGCUUGUCAGUUGGUACCACUUGUACAAUAACAAACAUUGAAAAAAAUUUGAAUUGGGAGUAUGUGCCAGACACUGGAGAUACACAGAAAUUGUGUAGGGAAGACAGGCACGUAAUAUAGUAAUAUAAGUAUAAUAAUGGAUUGUAUAGAAGUACAGGGGUGUUACAAAGCAAAUUAUUAUAUCUGCAAAGGAGAGUUAAGGAAAGAUUAACUUCUAUAAGAAGUGUCACUUUGGUCUAGCCUAGUAUAAUGGAUGUGACCCUACCAUUGUCUAAGAUUGGAAUGGGCACCCAGGGACUAGCAGAUGUGAAACCUAUGAGGAUUCUGGCAGUUACAGAGUUAAAGUAACUUUCCAAUGCCAUUCAGCUAGUAAAUAUCAAAGUUGACAGUUUAACCAGGAUAAUCUCUUUCCCAUGUAAGCAUGCUUAAGGACUAUACUAUGAAUAGAUGAUGAUGAUGUGUUACAAUCUCAAGAGAAAGCAUUUUAUCUUAAAUAAUGAAUGAGUGAGUGAAUUAGUACAUAAAAUGUAUAUUAACACCAAAGAAAGGGAG